rnacentral:rRNA from 1 species
GACCUGAUAUCAGGCAAG